rnacentral:rRNA from 1 species
ACAUGCCUACAACACAGCAUUAAUGCAUCAUAUCCCAUUAGAACUCUACAGUUAAGUGCGCUCGAGCCAGAGUAUCAAUGGGAUGGGUGACCACCUGGGAAGUCCUAGUAUUUUACAUGCC